AUAAAGUUUUAUUUUAGCUUAAAAUAUUGAUUAAUAAUAUUUUUAUAUACAAAUUUUUUUAUUUAGAAUUAUUUAUUUUAAAAAUAAAUAUUUUAUAAUUAUUUGUAAUUUAUAAAUUUUGUUUUUUAAGGAAUUAAGAAUAAGGUAUUUAUUUUAAUAUUAACUAAAUUUGUGCCAGCAGUUGCGGUUAUACAAAUAAUAUAAUUAAUAUUUAUUAGUAAAUAAUUAAUUAUUAUUAUUAUUUAAUUAAUUCUAAAUUUAUUAAGUGAAAUUUUAAAUUUAGUUUUUUUAAUAAUUAAGAUUAUGAGGUUGUUAAAAUUUAAUUAUAAACUAGGAUUAGAUACCCUAUUAUUUAUAUUUUAAAUUUAUUAUGCUUGAUUAGUAUUAGUUAUUUUCUUGAAAAUUAAAAAAUUUGGCGGUAUUUUAGUCUUUUCAGAGGAACCUGUUCUAUAAUUGAUAAUCCACGAUUAAAUGUACUUAUUUUAAAAGUUUAUAUAUCAUCGUAGAUUGAAUAUCUUUUUAGAGGUUAAUAUUCAAAAUUUAUAAUAAUAAAAAAAAUCAGAUCAAGGUAUAGCUUAUAUAUAAGAAGAAAUGGGUUACAAUAAAUUUAUUUUUGGAUUAAAAAUUGUGAAAUUUUUAUUAAAUUGGAUUUGAAAGUAAUAUAAUUUAUUUAAAUUAUAUGAUUAAAGCUCUAAAAUAUGCACAUAUCGCCCGUCGCUUUCAUAUAAAAUGAGAUAAGUCGUAACAAAGUAGGUGUACUGGAAAGUGUAUCUAGAAAGAA
rnacentral:ncRNA from 1 species